UGAACACAGCUGGUGGUAUAUCAG
rnacentral:miRNA from 1 species